CCCUAUGGCGCCCUAUGGCUCCCAAUGGCUCCCUUAUGGCUCCCUAUGGCCUUGGAUCCCUGGCGCCCUAUGGCUCCCAAUGGCUCCCUGUGGAUCCCUAUGGCCUUGGAUCCCUGCUUCCCUAUGGCAUCAGAUCCUUGGUUCCCUAUGGCCCUGGCUCCCUGCUUCCCUAUGGCAUCAGAUCCCUGCUUCCCCACGGCAUCAGAUCCCUAUGGCUCCCUUAUGGCUCCCUAUGGCUCCCUUAUGGCUCCCUAUGGCUCCCUAUGGCCUUGGAUCCCUGGCUCCCAAUGGCGCCCUAUGGCUCCCAAUGGCGCCCUAUGGCUCCCAAUGGCUCCCUGUGGAUCCCUAUGGCCUUGGAUCCCUGCUUCCCUAUGGCAUCAGAUCCCUGCUUCCCCACGGCAUCAGAUCCCUAUGGCUCCCUUAUGGC
ensembl:lncRNA